AACGCACAUUGCGCCCUCUGGUAUUCCGGGGGGCAUGCCUGUUCGAGCGUCAUUACAACCCUCAAGCUCUCUGCUUGGUCUUGGGCCCCACCCGGACGGGUGGGCUCUAAAAUCAGUGGCGGUGCCACCUGGCUUCAAGCGUAGUAACUCUUCUCGCUCUGGGGUUCUGGGUGUGUGCCCGCCAUCAAACUCCACAUCUAAAGGUUGACCUCGGAUCAGGUAGGGAUACCCGCUGAACUUAA
rnacentral:misc_RNA from 1 species